rfam:Asian citrus Psyllid, Diaphorina citri - Florida Strain, whole genome shotgun sequence.
GACGGCGGCGAUAGCAAGUUGAAUGCACCAGUUCCCAAUGGGUCACUGAAGUUAAGAAACGUUGCGCGUUGUUAGUAUCCGGAUGGUGACCAUUUGGACAAUCGCGUGCUGGUUUUU